UUGGCAUUUAACCCUUUAAAUAUGGGGGGGGUCUAAUGCUAUUUCAUGCAUUCUUACUUAUUUACACUGUUAAAGAGUCGGUUCCCUUUCAGUCGGUCACGUUCGACGUACGUCAGUAGUGACCGACGAAUUGGGAUAUCGCUAGAGAGCCCUAUCAGCUUCAAGUGAACUAAAACAAGCCAAUGGAGUUGGCGUGCGAUAUUUGCAUAAUGCGCACCGCCCCCGCCAGAUGGUAUAUAAAUAGGGGAGCAGAUGCAAUCGCACCCUGUCUUUUGCUUCGGAGCCAACCAGUUGUGUUCCAGCUUUCAGACUGAGAGUGUAACUACAAGCCUUUGUGAAGUGACUGCGUCUUGUGUUGGUGUUAAGGCACUUCAGCGAGGUCACGAGCUUCCCGAGGAGCCUGAGCUAUAAGCUCUCAACUGCUGUUUUUACAGUUAAAAUUUCCCAGCUUUUUUGUCUGUUGCGAUUUGGGCCGGUUUCUCCGUUGUGUUCGGGGAGUGGUGUACCCGAAUGCAUCGUGACACUCAGCACAAGUUAAAUGAGCAUUUCCCUUCUAAAAGAGCUUCACAGAUGAACCCUGCGUCUUUUUCAAGAUGUCAUUUUGUCUGUGCGUUACUGGAUGCGGUCGCUCAUUGGUCCACGCUCAUUGGUCCCCUCAUUGUCACAAUCGCUGCAUCACGUGCCUGGGUGUUCAGCACGCUGAAGCUGCUUUUGUGGAUAGUUCAUGUUCUCAUUGUGGGAACAUGACUAUUGCAGUGUUGAGAUCGAGACUCUCGUUCCUUGGUUCUCAGGGAGCGGGGGUCCCCUCCCCUAUGUCCCGUUCCGCCGUUUUCUCUGGCUUCGGCCGGGGUGAUGGUGCGUCGGCGUGUAGGCAGGGUGAUCUGAGGAUCACGGUCAGGGCUUCCCCGGCGAGCGCCGCUCCGCAGGCCCCUGCCCCCUCUACAUCACUGCAGCCGGUGGUGCUGCCGUUGGAGCGUACUGGUCCCUCUACGGAGCGGCCAUCCGUUUCCUUCGGCGCACCCGCGGAUGACCGUAUGUCGAUCGCGGCAUCGGAAGGUGAGCAAGAGUCCUCAGGAGAUGAAGACUCGGCUGCGUUACCUCCCUCCGGGACAGUAGCGUUGCCCAAGGCCGAUCCUGAGUUGACGGCUAUGCUUUCCUGGGCUGCCGAGAAGGUCGGGCUCGUCUGGAAUCCUCCACCGUGUCCCGGCCCGUCUUGGCUUGAUGUUUGGUACUUCGGUCCCCAGCGCCCCGCCCCAAUGCCUUUCUUCCCGGAGGUGCAUGAUGAGGUGACCAGGUCUUGGCAGACGCCCUGUAGCAUUCGUGCUAGACCUGGCCCCUCGUCCGCCUUCACCACCCUGGAUGGCAGAGAGGCUAGGGGAUACACGCGGAUUCCCCCGGUCGAGCGGUCUGUUGCGAUGCAGCUGUGUCCAACGGCUGUCGGCUGGCGCAGUGAACCGCGUCUCCCAUCCCGGGCCUGUAAAUUCUCGUCAGGACUGACAGAGAAAGCUUACAGGGCCUGUGGACAGGCUGCCUCCGCCCUGCAUGCCAUGGCCCUUUUGCAAGUAUAUCAGGCAAAAGCUUGAUGGAAAUGCCCCAGGGAGGUCUUGACCAGCAGCUGCUUGGGGAGCUGCGUGCCGCCACUGACCUCGCCCUCCAGGCGACUAAAGUAACGGCACAUUCUGUUGGUCAAGCGAUGGCCACGCUUGUGGUCCAGCAGCGCCAUCUAUGGCUGACCCUGGCUGAUAUGAGGGAAACCGACAAAUAUUGGUUCUUGUACUCCCCCGUAUCUCCGGUCGGCCUUUUCGGCGAUGUGGUAGAGAGCUUCACCAGCAGUUCUCUGCUGCUCAGAAGCAGGCUGAGUCUAUUAAACAUGUCCUGCCCCGGCGGUCCGCUGCUGCCUCCACCCCGCCUCCGGCCGCACAGCCUCAGCCCGCUCAUCGCCGAGGGCGCCCGCCUGCAUCGUCCUCCCCCCCUGCUAAGUCGGCGAAGCAGCAGCCUACACCCGCCAAACAGCAGGGAGCCGGUCGCGGACGCGGCGCCCAGCCCGCUCAGGCCAAGCCAGGUGGCAAGAGAACGAGGAAGACGCGAUCCUGAGACGGGCGACCUGGAGGGGAAGGUUUCUGCUCUUCAGGAGAGGAUUCCAGCAUCUCUCCCACCCCCGGAGGAGGGCCGGGGGGAAUUUGUGUUUCUGUCUGUCCCGCCGCUGGCUCUCCGGAGUCCAGUGGUACCCACUUCUACACAAAAAGAGCAGUUUCCCAAUCCUCCAGGUCACAAGAGGGCGCGGCUGUCAGUGUCCGAGUCGGGUCCCAGCACUCUGCUUCGCUGCCCCACCCCCGGUACGUUGGCUCGGUGUCUGGAAGCCUGGAUAGCGCUCCCCAGUCCGUCCCACUUGCUCAUUCGCACUAUCAGACUCGGCUAUGCGAUUCAGUUCGCCCGGCGUCCCCCGGUGUUCAGGAGUGUCCACUACACUCAGGUGUCACUGGACAAUGCAUCUGUUCUCCGCACGGAGAUUGCGGUCUUCCUGGCGAAGAAUGCAAUCGAGCCGGUUCCUCCAGCCGAUAUGAAGUCAGGGUUCUACAGCUCCUACUUCAUUGUACCCAAGAAGGGCGGUGGGCUACGACCAAUCCUGGAUCUGCAUGUCCUGAAUCGGUCCAUUCACAAGCUGCCGUUCAAGAUGCUUACGCAGAAACGCAUUUUCGCAUGCAUCCGUCCCCAGGAUUGGUUUGCAGCAAUCGACCUGAAGGACACGUGCUUUCAUGUCUCGAUUCUGCCUCGUCACAGACCCUUUCUAUGGUUUGCGUUCGAGGGUUGGGCAUAUCAGUACAAAGUCCUACUCUUCGGGCUGGCCCUGUCGCCCCGCGUCUUCACGAAGGUUGCGGAGGCAGCCAUUGUUCCUCUCAAGGAACAGGACGUUCGCAUUCUCAACUCCCUCGAUAACUGGCUCAUCCUGGCCAGCUCACGAGAGCAGUUGUGCGAACACAGGGACAUGGUUUUAGCUCACCUCAGCCGGUUGGGUCUUCGGGUCAACUGGGACAAGAGCAAACUUGCCCCCGGGCAGAGGAUCUUUUAUCUCGGUAUGGAACUGGACUCAGUUGCUCAGACAGCGUGCCUUACUGAGGAGCGUGUCCAGUCAGUGUUGAACUGCCUGAGUAUGCUCAAGCGCAGGACAGCGGCCCCACUGAAACUCUUUCAGAGGCUCCUGGGGCAUAUGGCAUCGGCAGCCGCAGUCACGCCGCUCAGAUUGCUUCAUAUGAGGCCGCUUCAACACUGGCUCCAUGGCCGGGUCCUGAGAUGGGCGUGGCAGCGCGGUACGUUCCGUGUCCCUGUGACACCGAACUGCCGUCGCACACUCACCAAGUGGUCGGACCCUUCAUUCCUGCGGGCUGGAGUUCCCCUCGAACAAGUGUCCAGGCAUGCUGUGGUCCACACAGUUGCCUCUGCCACGUACAACGGGCAUGCAGUGUCGGGUCUGUGGACGGGGCCUCAACUGCAGUGGCAUAUCAAUUGCCUCGAGUUGCUAGCAGUACAUCUUGCCCUGGGCCGCUUCCAGGAGCUGUUGACAGACAAGCACGUACUGGUCCACUCGGACAGCACUGCGGCUGUUGCAUACAUCAACCAUCAGGGUGGUCUAUGCUCCCGCCUCAUGUCGCAACUCGCCCGCCAUCUCUUGUUAUGGAAUCAGAAGCAUCUGACAUCGCUUCGUGCCAUUCAUGUCCCAGGCGUGCUCAACCGUGCAGCCGACGAGCUCUCACGGCAGCCUCCGCUUCCGGGCAAAUGGAGACUCCACGAGGAGCAGGUCUUGUUAGUAGCUCCAUACUGGCCCACUCGGACCUGGUUCUCGGACCUCACGCUCCUCGCGACAGCACCUCCCUGGCCCAUUCCUUUGAGGAAGGACCUCCUGACUCAGAGACGGGGCACCCUCUGGCACCCAUGUCCCGACCUGUGGAAACUCCAUGUGUGGUCCCUGGACGGGACGCGGAGGUUCUGAGUGAUCUCCCGCAAGCGGUCGUAGACACUAUCACUUCCACUAGAGCUCCUUCUACGAGGAAUCUCUAUGCGUUGAAGUGGAACCUGUUCGUCGAAUGGUCCUCUCACCAAGAGGACCCCCGAUCAUGUUCGGUCAAAUCUGUGCUCUCCUUCCUGCAAGAGGGCCUGGAGCGAAGGCUGUCUCCCUCCACCCUCAAGGUGUAUGUUGCCGCUAUUGCCGCACAUCACUAUGCAGUUCAUGGUAAAUCACUGGGGAAGCACCAUCUGAUCGUCAGUUUCCUGAGGGAGGUUCACCCUGGUACUUACAUCUCUCCGGGGUCAUCCCUUCGAGCCUUUGCAAUCAGUCUAGUUAAAAGUACUGUCCCUUAAGACCGUCCUCCUGGUUGCAUUGGGCUCGCUCAAGAGGGUAGGGGACCUGCACGCAUUUUCGGUCGACAAAUCGUGCCUGGAAUACGCCAGGCCAAACCUCUGUCACUGAAGUUGAUGUUUGGCUGGGUGCCCCUCCACGUGAGUGGUCCCAUGUGUGUAUUGUCCACGGUCAACUCCCCAUGGUGAGCCUGUGUCUUUCCCUGAGCAGAGCCAGCUCUGCUAUCACCUGUCAGAUGAGUCUCCUUCUAUGCUUAGGCUGGAGCCAUCCCAGGGACUUCAUAUGCGUAUUGCCCACGGCCAGUCCAUAUGUGUAUUCUCCACAUAAAUUCCUCCCCUGCAGGGUAGGUAGUGGUCUCCGCAGCAUCCCCUAUGGGUUCGCUUCCCCAGUGUAGUCUAGUUUACUUAAUGGGUAUUUCGGAACAGCAGUACACUCUCUCAGCGUAAGCUCGCCCCCUUCCCCGUCCCAUUGGUGCGCCGGGUGGCUAGAGCUUGCGCUGGGCACUGGAAGGGGUUCAUAACUGUGGCGCUUUAUUUGGGAUCCCAAUUCGUCGGUCACUACUGAUGUACGUCGAACGUGACCGACUGAAAGGGAACGUCUCAGUUAAGUAUGUAACCCUCAUUCCCUGAAGGAGGGAACGGAGAUGUACGUCCCGUCGCCACAGUUUCUGUACCCUCGCUGCAGUGCAGACUAGGUUGUCUCCUCAGCGAAAAACAGAGUGCGAUUGCAUCUGCUCCCCUAUUUAUACCACCUGGCGGGGGCAGUGUGCAUUAUGCAAAUAUCGCACGCCAACUCCUUUGGCUUGUUUUAGUUCACUCGAAGCUGAUAAGGCUCUCUGGCGAUAUCCCAAUUCGUCGGUCACUACUGACAUACAUCUCCGUUCCCUCCUUCAGGGAAUGAGGGUUACAUACGUAACCGAGACAAUUCUCAUGCUAAACAUGGCCAAAGUUUCAAAACACGGGUUGGACAUAUGACGGUUGUGGACAUGUUUCAACGUUUUUUUUUGUUUUUUUUUCGAGUAUGGCCUUUAUCACGUAUAAAGGGCAGAAUUCCUUGUAUGGGCACUUCUCCCUGAUAAGCGUGCACACACACAUCACCCAGAGCAAGAGCAAGAGCAUGCCCAUCAACGCGCUUCGGUCUUACUUUUCUUAAAUACUUGAAGUAUUCAGCCUUCAAAUGCGACCUCCAGAGGACGCAGCCUCCGAAAUGAGACGCAGCUCCUGUCACCAAAGAAGUAUGUUUUUGGUUGUGAGGGAAAGAUUACCUUUUUCAGCUUCCCAAAGAACCCAGCGUUAAGGGAACAGUGGAUGAAGUCUGUUUUUCCGGGGCAGCAACGGAGUUGUGCGUGUAUGUUUGUUUGUUCCCGGAAUUUCGGUGAUGAAUGCUUUGUAAGCAAGGCCCAGUUCGGCGCUGGAUUUGCAGAUCACGGGUGGUGAGUAAAGCUGCAUCAUAUGUCUGUGUUUUGUUGGCAAUCGGCACGCAAGUGCAUAUAAUGUAAACAACAUAAACGUUUUUGUUCCCUUUUUAUUUAUAAUGAUGUCACAGCUUGCAGACGAUCUCUACGCAAAAGCUGCGCGCGCGCUCGCGACUCUUUAGCUCUGCCCACGACAGGCACGCCUCCAGGAGCUCGACUUUUUCGGAAAGACUCGUAAGGCCAAAUGCUACUCUGGCGAUGAUUUUGAUGAUGAUUACAUCAACACGACAGACCUCAACUUAUAUGGAAAUAUUUGAUGAAAAUGCCAGUAGACUUCAUUUGCAGAGAUCAUGAGAG